UACGUAGGGAGCAAGCGUUGUCCGGAAUCAUUGGGCGUAAAGCGCGCGUAGGUGGCCACAUAAGUCCGUUGUGAAAGUCAAAGGCUCAACCUUUGAAAGCCGAUGGAUACUGUGUGGCUAGAGUACGGAAGAGGCGAGUGGAAUUCCUGGUGUAGCGGUGGAAUGCGCAGAUAUCAGGAAGAACACCGGUGGCGAAGGCGGUGGUCUGGGCCGAAACUGACGCUGAGGAGCGAAAGCCAGGGGAGCAAACGGG
rnacentral:rRNA from 1 species